GGGAUUGCCUCAGUAACGGCGAGUGAAGCGGCAACAGCUCAAAUUUGAAAUCUGGCCCUAGGCCCGAGUUGUAAUUUGCAGAGGAUGUUUCUGGCGAGGUGCCUUCCGAGUGCCCUGGAACGGGACGCCAUAGAGGGUGAGAGCCCCGUACGGUUGGUCGCUAAGCCUCUGUGAAACUCCUUCGACGAGUCGAGUAGUUUGGGAAUGCUGCUCUAAAUGGGAGGUAUACGUCUUCUAAAGCUAAAUACCGGCCAGAGACCGAUAGCGCACAAGUAGAGUGAUCGAAAGAUGAAAAGCACUUUGAAAAGAGGGUUAAAUAGUACGUGAAAUUGUUGAAAGGGAAGCGCUCAUGACCAGACUUGGGCCGGUUGAUCAUCCGCCGUUCUCGGCGGUGCACUCUGCCGGCUCAGGCCAGCAUCAGUUUGGUCCGGGGGAUAAAGGUGUAGGGAAUGUGGCUCCCCCCGGGGAGUGUUAUAGCCCUGCGCGUAAUACCCUGGACUGGACUGAGGUUCGCGCAUCUGCAAGGAUGCUGGCGUAAUGGUUAUCAGUGACCCGUCUUGAAACACGGACCAAGGAGUCGUCUUCGUAUGCGAGUGUUCGGGUGUCAAACCCCUACGCGUAAUGAAAGUGAACGUAGGAGAGAGCUUCGGCGCAUCUCCGACCGAUCCUGAUGUUCUCGGAUGGAUUUGAGUAAGAGCAUACGGGGCCGGACCCGAAAGAAGGUGAACUAUGCCUGUAUAGGGUGAAGCCAGAGGAAACUCUGGUGGAGGCUCGCAGCGGUUCUGACGUGCAAAUCGAUCGUCAAAUAUGGGCAUGGGGGCGAAAGACUAAUCGAACCUUCUAGUAGCUGGUUUCCGCCGAAGUUUCCCUCAGGAUAGCAGUGUUGAACUCAGUUUUAUGAGGUAAAGCGAAUGAUUAGGGACCCGGGGGCUAUUUUUUGCCUUCAUCCAUUCUCAAACUUUAAAUAUGUAAGAAGCUCUUGUUGCUUAGUUGAACGUGGGCAUUCGAAUGUAUCAACACUAGUGGGCCAUUUUUGGUAAGCAGAACUGGCGAUGCGGGAUGAACCGAACGCGAGGUUAAGGUGCCAGAGUAGACGCUCAUCAGACACCACAAAAGGUGUUAGUACAUCUAGACAGUCGGACGGUGGCCAUGGAAGUCGGAAUCCGCUAAGGACUGUGUAACAACUCACCGACCGAAUGUACUAGCCCUGAAAAUGGAUGGCGCUCAAGCGUCUCACCCAUACCUCGCCCUCAGGGUAGAAACCAUGCCCUGAGGAGUAGGCGGACGUGGAGGUCGUGACGAAGCCUAGGGCGUGAGCCCGGGUUGAAC
rnacentral:rRNA from 1 species